rnacentral:rRNA from 1 species
GUCACACUAUCAUUAACUGAAUCCAUAGGUUAAUGAGGCGAACCGGGGGAACUGAAACAUCUAAGUACCCCGAGGAAAAGAAAUCAACCGAGAUUCCCCCAGUAGCGGCGAGCGAACGGGGAGCAGCCCAGAGCCUGAAUCAGUGUGUGUGUUAGUGGAAGCGUCUGGAAAGGCGCGCGAUACAGGGUGACAGCCCCGUACACAAAAAUGCACAUACUGUGAGCUCGAUGAGUAGGGCGGGACACGUGGUAUCCUGUCUGAAUAUGGGGGGACCAUCCUCCAAGGCUAAAUACUCCUGACUGACCGAUAGUGAACCAGUACCGUGAGGGAAAGGCGAAAAGAACCCCGGCGAGGGGAGUGAAAAAGAACCUGAAACCGUGUACGUACAAGCAGUGGGAGCCUCUUAAUGGGGUGACUGCGUACCUUUUGUAUAAUGGGUCAGCGACUUAUAUUCUGUAGCAAGGUUAACCGAAUAGGGGAGCCGAAGGGAAACCGAGUCUUAACUGGGCGUUAAGUUGCAGGGUAUAGACCCGAAACCCGGUGAUCUAGCCAUGGGCAGGUUGAAGGUUGGGUAACACUAACUGGAGGACCGAACCGACUAAUGUUGAAAAAUUAGCGGAUGACUUGUGGCUGGGGGUGAAAGGCCAAUCAAACCGGGAGAUAGCUGGUUCUCCCCGAAAGCUAUUUAGGUAGCGCCUCGUGAAUUCAUCUCCGGGGGUAGAGCACUGUUUCGGCAAGGGGGUCAUCCCGACUUACCAACCCGAUGCAAACUGCGAAUACCGGAGAAUGUUAUCACGGGAGACACACGGCGGGUGCUAACGUCCGUCGUGAAGAGGGAAACAACCCAGACCGCCAGCUAAGGUCCCAAAGUCAUGGUUAAGUGGGAAACGAUGUGGGAAGGCCCAGACAGCCAGGAUGUUGGCUUAGAAGCAGCCAUCAUUUAAAGAAAGCGUAAUAGCUCACUGGUCGAGUCGGCCUGCGCGGAAGAUGUAACGGGGCUAAACCAUGCAC